CAGAGUACCAAUUGGAGGGCAAGUCUGGUGCCAGCAGCCGCGGUAAUUCCAGCUCCAAUAGCGUAUAUUAAACUUGUUGCAGUUAAAAAGCUCGUAGUUGAAUUUCAGCGUUUCGCGUGUGCCUCUUUUGGCCCAUCUCGUCUCGCUUUUUUUAUUACUUUGAGAAAAUUAGAGUGUUUCAAGCAGGCUUUUGUCUUGAAUACUUGAGCAUGGAAUAAUAGAGUAGGACCUUGGUUCUAUUUUGUUGGUUUUGUUACCUUGGUAAUGGUUAAUAGGAACGGUUGGGGGCAUUCGUAUUUAACUGUCAGAGGUGAAAUUCUUAGAUUUGUUAAAGACGAACUACUGCGAAAGCAUUUGCCAAGGACGUUUCCAUUAAUCAAGAACGAAAGUUAGGGGAUCGAAGACGAUCAGAUACCGUCGUAGUCCUAAC
rnacentral:rRNA from 1 species